AUAAGUGAAUAGUGAAAUCUGGCGGCUCAACCGUACAGGCUAUUAUUCAAACUCACUAACUCGAGAAUGGUAGAGGUAACUGGAAUUUCUUGUGUAGGAGUGAAAUCCGUAGAUAUAAGAAGGAACACCAAUGGCGUAGGCAGGUUACUGGACCAUUUUCUGACGCUAAGGCACGAAAGCGUGGGGAGCAAACGGGAUUAGAUACCCCGGAAGUCCACGCCGUAAACUAUGGAUACUA
rnacentral:rRNA from 1 species